UACGUAGGGCGCAAGCGUUAUCCGGAAUUAUUGGGCGUAAAGAGCUCGUAGGCGGUUUGUCGCGUCUGCUGUGAAAGACCGGGGCUCAACUCCGGUUCUGCAGUGGGUACGGGCAGACUAGAGUGCAGUAGGGGAGACUGGAAUUCCUGGUGUAGCGGUGAAAUGCGCAGAGUAUCAGGAGGAACACCGAUGGCGAAGGCAGGUCUCUGGGCUGUAACUGACGCUGAGGAGCGAAAGCAUGGGGAGCGAACAGG
rnacentral:rRNA from 1 species